rnacentral:lncRNA from 1 species
GUGCACGCGGAGAGGUCUUCUUUGUGGGUUUAUAGAAGACGAGAGAAGGGUAGAAGAGAUUCAAGAAAGAGGGCUCGGGUUGUAGCUACUCUGUGCAGAAGAUGAGUCAGGUGUAAUCUUCUCUUAUUUAAUGAAUCUUAUUUUACCUGCAUAUUUUUCUCUUUUAUGAUUGUAUCAGCUUUUGCUGAGGAGACUGGUUUAUGGUAAAAACCCGAUUUGACGUUUUCGUUGCGGAAUCCCAACAAUCGAUACCGGAUCCACAGCAGUUGGUAUCGGAGCGGGUUGCGAAUUCACGAGAUCCGGUACCGGGGCCAGUACCGGAUUCCCAACAAGUGGUAUCAGAGCCGAAAGUUACCGAUCUGUGGGAGAGAUCGACGGAGAUAGCCACGAAAUUCGAAAUCGAGAAGUUCGAUGGCAAGAACAAUUUCGGAUUAUGGCAAAUUAAAGUACGAGCAAUCCUCGUACAGUAAAAGUUAGAUGAGACGUUGAACGGGAAGGAGGCAAAGCCGGCGGAGGUCACGGAUGCGGCAUGGACGAAGAUGGAGCGGAAGGCGCUGAGUACGCUUUAUCUAUCAUUAGCAGAUGAGGUUCUUUACAAUGUAGCCGGCGAGACGACACCGGCGAAAUUGUGGAAGAAAUUGGAAGAUCUGUACAUGACCAAAUCCCUGACGAACAGAUUAUAUCUGAAGCAGCGACUGUUUACGUUGCGGAUGUAAGAAGCGGCGAGCCUACAUGAUCAUCUAAAUGAGUUCAACAAGGUGGUGGCCCAGUUGACUAGCGUCGGAGUCAAUCUGGAUGACGAGGACAAGGAGACCAUAAGCGUGGAGGCGGUCACGGCGGCGCUUCUCUCGAAUGAGACGCGGAAGAUGAUUCAGCAGUCCAGCACGCAGAGCCGGGAUACUGCUUUGGUAGUGAGAGCGAAGAAGGAAGCGAAAAUAUCGGCGACCGGAGAUAGACAGAAGAAGCCGCUAUCUGAGAUAGAAUGCUUUUACUGUCACAGGAAGAGGCAUAUCAAGCGCAAUUGUCGAAAGCUUCAGGAUGAUCUGAAGGAGUUAAAGCGACAGAGGGAGCAAACUAUCGUGAACCAGGACGAGACGGUAUCAGCGACGGCGCAGACAGCAGAGUUGGAGAUGAUCGAUUCUGAUGUGCUGUAUGCGGCGACCGAAGGUGCGAAAAUUUCGGACGAUGCGUGGGUGCUCGAUUCGGCGUGUUCUUUUCACGUAUGCCCGGAGAAGGAGUCUUUUGCCACCUAUUAGGCGAUCAAAGGUGGAAAAGUGCUGAUGGGGAACGGGACAGCGUGCAAAGUAUUGGGAGUCGGCAUAGUGAAAAUCCGAAUGCACGAUGGGGUCGUGAGGACGCUGACAGGUGUGCGACACGUUCCUGGAUUGAAGCGGAAUUUGAUCUCGUUAGGCGUAUUGGACUCGAAGGGUUGCGAUAUUUCAGCUUCAGGUGGAGCUAAGAGGGUCCGAAAACGAGAUCGGGUCGUAUGCGAGGCGAACAAGCGUGGGAACUUAUACAUUCUGAACGAGAGCACAGCCAGAACGGGAGCGAAGACGGUUUGGGUUCCAAAAGUUCGCGGAUGUGCAGUUGCUCGAGACGGAGCGACGGAUGUGGCGACAUCGAGCGGAGGAGACAAGCUCAAGGUGGAGCUUGCAUGGUGAGCUCGACGUAGCGGUUGAAAAUUACAAAUCAAACCAAGGUGGAGAAUGUUAGGAUUUGGUUAGAUUUGUAGUUAAAUCCUAUUUGGAUAAGGAUUAAUAUUUAAAUCUGUUUGAGAUAAAUUAAGCUUUAAAUAUUAAUUAGAGGAUAAACCUAACUAGAUUAGAAUUAAUAUUUAAUUUAUUAGAGAUUGAUUAAGAUAGAUUUAGAUAUUAAUUAAAGUAUGAAUUCUAAAUAUACUAGGAUUGGGGUACGUUUUAAGUUGAGCUUUAUAAAUAGGCAUUGUGGCUCUCUUUUUUUGAGUGUAGUACGGCUGGAAUCAUUGGGGUGUCGUACCAGAGAGAGUAAAAGAGAGAGAGAGUUAUUUUAGUGCACCUUGUGCAUGGGUGCACAAGGAGAGGUCUUCUUUGUGGGUUUAUAGAAGACGAGAGAAUGGUAGAAGAGAUUCAAGAAAGAGGGCUCGGGUUGUAGCUACUCUGUGCAGAAGAGGAGUCAGGUGUAAUCUUCUCUUAUUUAAUGAAUCUUAUUUUACCUGCAUAUUUUUCUCUUUUAUGAUUGUAUCAGCUUUUGCUGAGGAGACGGGAUUAUGGUAAAAAUCCGAUUUGACGUUUCCGUUGCGGAAUCCCAACAAUCGAUACCGGAUCCACAGCAGUCGGUAUCGGAGCGGGUUGCGGAUUCACGAGAUCCGGUACCGGGGCGAGUACCGGAUUCCCAACACAUCUGGACCCCUCAAAUAUCGAGUUCUUUCUUUUUUAACCCCUCUAU